UACGUAGGGUGCGAGCGUUGUCCGGAAUUAUUGGGCGUAAAGAGCUCGUAGGCGGUCUGUCGCGUCGAUCGUGAAAACUUGGGGCUUAACCCUGAGCUUGCGGUCGAUACGGGCAUGACUGGAGUUCGGCAGGGGAGACUGGAAUUCCUGGUGUAGCGGUGAAAUGCGCAGAUAUCAGGAGGAACACCGGUGGCGAAGGCGGGUCUCUGGUCUGUAACUGACACUGAGGCGCGAAAGCGUGGGGAGCGAACAGG
rnacentral:rRNA from 1 species